rnacentral:rRNA from 1 species
UACGUAGGGUGCAAGCGUUGUCCGGGAAUUAUUGGGCGUAAAGAGCUCGUAGGCGGUCUGUUGCGUCGGCUGUGAAAACCCGGGGCUCAACUCCGGGCCUGCAGUCGAUACGGGCAGACUAGAGUUCGGCAGGGGAGACUGGAAUUCCUGGUGUAGCGGUGAAAUGCGCAGAUAUCAGGAGGAACACCGGUGGCGAAGGCGGGUCUCUGGGCCGAUACUGACGCUGAGGAGCGAAAGCGUGGGGAGCGAAACAGG